AGCAGCCGCGGUAAUUCCAGCUCCAAUAGCGUAUAUUAAAGUUGCUGCAGUUAAAAAGCUCGUAGUUGAAUUUCGGGACUAAUAUGUCGGUCGUGCCUCGGUACGUGCUGGCUUAUUGGUUUCUCCUUUCUGAAGAACCAUGAUGUCAUUUAUUUGGUGUCGUGGGGAAUCAGGACUGUUACUUUGAAAAAAUUUAGAGUGUUUAAGCAGGCUCACGCUUGAAUACAUUAGCAUGGAAUAAUGAAAUAGGACGUUUGAUUCUAUUUUGUUGGUUUCUAGGAUCGACGUAAUGAUUAAUAGGGAUAGUUGGGGGCAUUAGUAUUCAAUUGUCAGAGGUGAAAUUCUUGGAUUUAUUGAAGACUAACUACUGCGAAAGCAUUGGCCAAGGAUGUUUUCAUUAUCAAGAACGAAAGUUAGGGGAUCGAAGACGAUCAGAUACCGUCGUAGUCUUAACCAUAAACUAUGCCGACUAGGGAUCGGAUGAUGUUAAUUUUUUAAUGACUCAUUCGGCGCCUUACGG
rnacentral:misc_RNA from 1 species